rnacentral:lncRNA from 1 species
UUACUUGUUGUUGUUGUAAUGUUGUUGACAGUUCCUAGCUCUUCUAGAGCCCGUACAAUUGCUAAUUCUCUCCCUAAGUUCUCUUUGAAUUUGUAAAACUAUAUACUCACUAUUUACAUUUAAUUUCCUCAACAUCUUCCAAUUCCUAGCUUGCCAUGUAUAGUAAACCAUGGCUCCAUAAACAGCAGCACCAACUUCUUGCCUUCAUUGUCUGUCU